UUGAACGCUGGCGGCAGGCCUAACACCUGCAAGUCGCGCGGGGACUUCGGUCCUAGCGGCGCACGGGUGAGUAAUGCUUGGGAAUCUGCCCAGUAGUGGGGGAUAACGUCCCGAAAGGGACGCUAAUACCGCAUACGUCCUACGGGAGAAAGAGGGGGAUCUUCGGACCUCUCGCUAUUGGAUGAGCCCAAGUCGGAUUAGCUAGUUGGUAGGGUAAUGGCCUACCAAGGCGACGAUCCGUAGCUGGUCUGAGAGGAUGAUCAGCCACACUGGAACUGAGACACGGUCCAGACUCCUACGGGAGGCAGCAGUGGGGAAUAUUGGACAAUGGGCGAAAGCCUGAUCCAGCCAUGCCGCGUGUGUGAAGAAGGCCUUCGGGUUGUAAAGCACUUUAAGCGGGGAGGAAGGUUCGCGGCCUAAUACGUCGCGGAAUUGACGUUACCCGCAGAAUAAGCACCGGCUAACUCUGUG
rnacentral:rRNA from 1 species